GCAAGCAGUUGGGUGUUCCUGAGAUAUCUUCUUUAGAGCUUGCAAAGACUGUCAAAGGUGAAACAUUAGCACUACAGCUAGAAAGGCCAGUCCUUAACAACUAAGCAUAAUGGUUCCACAUAGAAAGAGAGAGUUGCACUUAAGGUCAUUUCAUUCACGGCCGCAAAUAAGCAUAAUGGUUCCACAUAGAAACAGAGAGUUGCACUUAAGGUCAUUUCAUUCACAGCCUAGGCCUAGUUAAGCAAGGAUUAUAAUAUUCGGAUUGUGAAUAAUAGUUAUGGAUUAACUGUGCUGGGAGUAUCACCAUGAAUUCUUUUUCCUUUGGAGGACACAUAAAUGUUCCGCGUCAAACUAAUUCACUCAC
rnacentral:lncRNA from 1 species